rnacentral:lncRNA from 1 species
CCCUUAUGUGAGGGACAAAGAACCAACUAGCUGUGUCUCUAUUCCUGGGCCUGAAUUUCAUCUCUAUAAGGAAGCACUUCCUUCAAGAAAUAUUUGCUGCAAAUCCUCAACAGCUAGGCAGAAGAAAAGCAGAAGAAAAAUAUGUAAAACUUCUCCCAUUGCGAGCAUUGUAAUCUGCGACAAGUGCCUUUCAAAAGAAGAGUGAGAAAUGGAAGAGGAGGAGGCAGAAGAGAAGAAAAAAUAAUAAGAAUAAGAUAAACAAGAAAUAGAAGAAGAAAAGGUAAGGAAAGAAGUUGGAGAAGGAGUAGAAUAAAAUA